AUUGAACGCUAGCGGGAUGCUUUACACAUGCAAGUCGAACGAGUGGCGGACGGGUGAGUAAUAUAUCGGAACGUGCCCACUAGCGGGGGAUAACUACUCGAAAGGGUGGCUAAUCCCGCAUACCAUUGGAGUGGCCCAUAUUGGAUUAGCUAGUUGGUGGGGUAAAGGCUCACCAAGUCAACGAUCCGUAGCUGGUUUGAGAGGACGACCAGCCACACUGGAACUGAGACACGGCCCAGACUCCUACGGGAGGCAGCAGUGGGGAAUUUUGGACAAUGGGGGAAAGCCUGAUCCAGCCAUCCCGCGUGUGUGAGAAGGCCUUCGGGUUGUAAAGUACUUUUGGCAGGGAAGCGGUAUCUGCAGAAUAAGCACCGGCUAACUACGUGCCAGCCGCCGCGGUAAUUC
rnacentral:rRNA from 1 species